UAUNGCACAAUGGGGGGAACCCUGAUGCAGCNACGCCGCGUGAGUGAAGAAGUAAUUCGUUAUGUAAAGCUCUAUCAGCGGGGAAGAAUAAAUGACGGUACCUGAGUAAGAAGCCCCGGCUAACUACGUUCCAGCAGCCGCGGUAAUACGUAGGGGGCAAGCGUUAUCCGGAUUUACUGGGUGUAAAGGGAGCGUAGACGGCGAUGCAAGCCAGAUGUGAAAGCCCGCGGCUCAACUGCGGUAGUGCAUUUGGAACUGUAUGGCUGGAGUGCAGGAGAGGCAGGCGGAAUUCCUAGUAUAGCGGUGAAAUGCGUAGAUAUUAGGAGGAACACCAGUGGCGAAGGCGGCCUGCUGGACUGUAACUGACGUUGAGGCUCGAAAGCGUGGGGAGCAAACAGG
rnacentral:rRNA from 1 species